rnacentral:rRNA from 1 species
GAUGAACGCUAGCGGCAGGCCUAACACAUGCAAGUCGAGGGAGAGGUUAUCUUCGGGUAACCAAAACCGGCGCACGGGUGCGUAACGCGUAUACAAUCUGCCUUUCACAUAGGGAUAGCCCGAAGAAAUUUGGAUUAAUACCUAAUGGUAUAUAAGAGCGGCAUCGUUUUUAUAUUAAAGCUACGGUGGUGAAAGAUGAGUAUGCGUUCUAUUAGCUAGUUGGAGAGGUAACGGCUCCCCAAGGCGACGAUAGAUAGGGGUUCUGAGAGGGAUGUCCCCCACACUGGUACUGAGAUACGGACCAGACUCCUACGGGAGGCAGCAGUGAGGAAUAUUGGACAAUGGUCGGAAGACUGAUCCAGCCAUGCCGCGUGCAGGAUGAAGGUCCUAUGGAUUGUAAACUGCUUUUGUAAGGGAAGAAUAAGGAGUACGUGUACUUUGAUGACGGUACCUUACGAAUAAGCAUCGGCUAACUCCGUGCCGGCAGCCGCGGUAAUACGGAGGAUGCGAGCGUUAUCCGGAAUCAUUGGGUUUAAAGGGUCCGUAGGCGGGCUGAUAAGUCAGAGGUGAAAGCGCUUAGCUCAACUAAGCAACUGCCUUUGAAACUGUCAGUCUUGAAUGAUUGUGAAGUAGUUGGAAUGUGUAGUGUAGCGGUGAAAUGCUUAGAUAUUACACAGAACACCGAUAGCGAAGGCAUAUUACUAACAAUUUAUUGACGCUGAUGGACGAAAGCGUGGGGAGCGAACAGG